rnacentral:tRNA from 1 species
UCCCUGGUGGCUCAGAUGGUAAAGAAUCUGCCUGCAAUGCAGGAAACCUGGGUUCAAUCCCUGGGUUGGGAA